AUGCUAGGCAAGUGUUUUAGCACUAAGCCACAACCCGAAGCUCAUCAUCCCCAUUUUACAGAUGAAGAGACUAAAUCCCCCUCUUUACAUCUUGCUGCAGCAUUUGCUCCUUCACUGAAGUAUAGUCCUUUCUGGGAUUCCCAGGAGCUCCUUAGGCUGGCCAUGCUCAGGCUAAUAUUUGGUGCCUCUUCUGUAGGUAACUAUGUCCAUCUCAUGGCCAGAAUUGAUAAUGAUUUCGUGAUCAGGGCAUACACACCUGUCUCAAGUGAUGAUGACAAAGGCUUUGUGGACUUAAUUAUAAAGAUCUACUUCAAAAAUGUACACCCUCAUUAUCCUGAAGGGGGGAAGAUGACUCAGUAUUUGGAGAAAAUGAAAAUUGGGGACACUAUCCUUUUUCGAGGACCAACGGGGCGCCUAUUUUACCAAGGGCAAGGAAACCUUGCAAUCAGACAGUACAAAACGAGCAUGCCUGAGAAAAAACUGGUCUGUCACUUGGGAAUGAUUGCUGGGGGCACAGGCAUUACGCCCAUGCUGCAGCUCAUACGCCACAUCACCAAGAACCCCAUGGACAAGACCAGGAUGUCCCUCAUCUUUGCCAACCAGACAGAGGAGGAUAUCUUGAUGAGAAAGGAGCUGGAAGAAAUUGCCAAGACUCACCUAAACCAGUUCAAACUGUGGUACACCCUGGACAGGCCUCCCCUUGGCUGGAAGUACAGCUCAGGCUUUGUGACUGCUGACAUGAUCAAGCAGCACCUCCCACCCCCUGGGAAAACCACACUCAUCCUGGUUUGUGGCCCACCAGCCUUGAUCCAGACAGCGGCUCAUCCCAACCUGGAGAAGCUGGGUUAUACCAAGGAUAUGAUUUUCACCUACUAGUAUCUCCUGUACUCCUAGAAAAUUUCCUGGGACCCUUUCCUCUGUUUCAGAGAUAUUUCAAGUGUCCUGGCUCAGGGCUCCCUGCAUAGCUAUUAUCCUGCCCUCACCUCAUCAGCUGGGCGCCGAUGCAGGCAGUGGGGGUUGAACUUGUUGACAUGCAGCACAUGAAUGGCACAUUUGAUGCUGAGAUGAUGUAGCUGGCUGGUGACUUUUAAGAAGAGUAAAUCAUUCUGGAAAAGAAAAGUUUUGAUGAGCCAGUUUCCAAAGUAACAAGACUCCAGUGGUCCUUCCUGGUCUGGCCAAACAGACAAGACUUCCACAUUUCAGGAAGGUGCAUUAUGGACAUACCAACAGUUUCUCUUAUCACAAUGAUUUGUACUCUGCUACUGGGGAUAUCUUAUGUAACAAUCAAUACUAUUUCAAGGACUUCAGAAUAAGAUGGAAUCAGGCUUAAAAUAACAAUCAUGGGCAUAUCUGAGCCAAAUGCUCACAGAUACAACUGAAAUAUUUAAAGGAAAAGUCCUCACCACAGUUAGGUAUUGCAGCAUUCGUCCAUCAACUCUGGACUCAUGAAACUGGUCUUUAUAUUGGGGUAAGCCGAUAUCAUCAAGCCACCCUAUAAAUACAGAAAAAAAAAAUAGAUGUGUUGGGAUUCCUGAGAAUAGGAGCAACAAUUAUCAUUUUGAGGUUCCAGUUUUUUUCAGAAGAUUUAGUAAUCCAUCUGCCUUUCACAAGGACACAGCUAUCUUUGAGGCACACAUUCAACAUGGAAAUUCUUUUUACCCUUAGGAACAGUCAGAUACAUACUUAAUACAUAUAUGCCUGUCCUUACGUGUCACCCAAAUGUGAUCCAGCAGCGCAGACUUCUCUUCCUGCUUGGUGUUGAUGGCUUUCACUGCUAAAACAAGUUUCUUUCUAUGAAGAGGGUGCUUAAUUCCUAGUUCCUGAAAUUGCAAGAUGAAGACCAGAUGUAAAAUUUUGGCAGACAAUUUGAUCUCCAGAGGAUGUUGUGUCAGGGUGGAGAUACUCUAAAGAGUGUGGCAGGGGAUCUGUGCACAAGACCCUGGGAUGUCAACCUGCAGUUACUAAGGAAAUCCCAGCCUUCCUGCCCAUCUUCCUGUGUGUAUAUGGAGUGGGGGGCCUUCACCUUCCCAUGAAUUGGUCUAGGGAGAAAUAACAGCCUCCUUUUCCUGGGCUCAGUUCUUACCUUUUCCAUGUCCUGAGGGGUAGCUGUCAGUAAAGUGUGGCCAGAUGUCACCCAUUGCCUGGCAAAGAUCACGUACUGAGCCAGGCCGAAGUCCUCAAGCCAUGAACAUACACGCUCUGUGCUCCACUGGGCAAAGGGGGCAUUGGCAUCACUGGGAAGCAGGGAAACAGUAUACUUUUGUAAGUUGAGAGUCUGAGGUUCUGCGUAUAAUAAAGCCUCAUCAAAAAGGAACUACCUUUUAACAAACAACCUAACCAUGGGCUAUAGCUGAAGGAAAUUCCACAACAACACACUCACAUGAGGUACAUUCAAGUCCCCUCCAUAACAAAUGAGUUUCAAAUCCAGCUACUUAGAGAACGAGAUAGCUGACAUAAUCCUUAAGAGACUGCAGUCAAUAGGUCCACAUAUACCUCAACAUGUCACAAUCCCAGAGCAUGGCCCUAUUAGGAAGAACACCUAAAACUAACUCAUUUUGUCCACAAGAUUCAACACUCUUUUUAAGGAAAAUACUUAGAAAGGAAAAAGACAAUCGGUUCUCUAACAUAAAAAAAAAAAAAAAAUCAACAGCCCUCCAAUUAACAAUAGCUAAUAGUAAUAAAAUACUAGGGACUUUCAUAUUAAAAAUCAACAAAGAGACAAUAUAUUUUUAUAAGUACUUAUUAAUAAUAACAACAGUAUUCUGAGGAUUGCAUCCAAAAUAUUAUAAUGUUUAUUAGAAUAAAUAAAAGUAAGAAGUAUAGCUACUAGAAAGGUAGACAUAAAAGAAAAUAGUUCUUUUCAGAUGAGGGCUGCCUGCCUGGAAAGCUCAAGAGAGCUCAAUAAGGUGACUAGUAAUAAAAUACACACACAUAAACAUAUAUACAUAUGUAAUAUGUAUAUUACAAGCAAAAAUCAAUCAAUUUCUACACAGUAUCCAUGCACAGCUACUAAAGCAUUUGUUAAAACAAUAAAAAUUCUCCCCCAUACAAACCAAAAUUAUAAACGGCCUAGACAUUGCCUUAACAAGGAAUGUGUGUACCUGUGUAUGUGAUUGUGAUGGGGUGGGGAUCACAAGGGGGUAGAGUGGGGUGAUAUAGUAGCCAUAACACUCAACUAUGCAACAUAAAAAAAAAGACAUGAAUAAAUGAAGAGUUAGAUCAUGUUCCGACAGGAUGAGUAGACAUUAAAACCAACCAUUCUUAGAGACAUCAAUUUUUCAUUUAAAGUGUGAAUAUAAUGGAACAUUCAAAAUCCCAAAAGAAACUUUGUGGCAGGCAGUGGACAAAGUAACUUUAUGUUCAUUUUUAAACAUAAAUGGGGAUUUAUGGAAUAUAAAAGACUAAAUAUUCACAAAGAUUUCUUUCUAGGAAAGUACAGUUGUCUGUUGGUAUCCACAGGAAAUUGGUUCUAGGACCCCCUGCAGAUAGCAAAUUCUGAGGGAGUCAAGUCCCUUACAUAAGAUGGAGUAGUAUUUACAUACAACCUACACAUAUCCUCCAUAAACUUAAGUCAUAUCUAGAUUAUUUACAUUACCUAAUAUAAUGUAAAUGCCAUGCAAAUAGUUGUUAUACUGCAUUGUUAGAAAAUGAUGGCAAGAAAAAAGUGUGUGCAUGUUCAGUGCAAACCAUUGUAGAUCUAACCACAUCUUCAGUACUCAGUUGGCUUAAUGUACAGAUGCAAAACCACUUAAUACAGAGAGCUGACCCCCACCCCUAACAUACAGGAAUACAUUUUUUGAAUACCUGGCUGAGCUGUUCUUAAAGGGAAAGGAUUUCUUAAAGGGCCAGAAUGACAAGAAAACACCAUUCUAGAACCCUGGAGAUGAUGGAGUAGGAUGGAGGUUGAGUCAGUCUUUCUUCUAGGAUGACUGUCAAUAUUUUCUUUUAUAAUUAUGAGAGUUUUAAAAAGUUUCAGCUUCACAAUUUGUAAUUGUAAUUGGUAUUGUCAUGCACAUUUUUAGAAUCACUGAUUAAAUUUAGGAAAACUUCUAUCAAGUAUCUCUCACAUAUGAAUGUUAAAGAUUCAUAAGUGCGUAUACUUCAUUAGCAAGUACAUUCCUGACAGGAGAGAAUUUCUAUUUUGACUAAGCACUCAAGAGAACCAAAUCUCCUGCUUAAGAUUUUGCAGAUCUGAUGACUGGGAAGAAUUUCCACAGACUAGCUUCUGACUUUGUUACAUCUAAAAUAUGGUUUUGUUUCCACUAUCCCAUAAUUUUGGUAUGGAAUGCUAGAGGACACAUUCAUUUUAGAACAUGACCUCUAGCAUUCAAGUUUUCUAUUGUCAUGGUUAAUCUUAAAUAUUCUUCAAAUUGUCAAUAUUCAUUAAUUGAUGUGUUGUCCAUGCUCUUUUGACAGUAGCUUAAGUUUUAUUUUAUCUUUGCUGAUGUUAGCAUAAAAUGUAAAAUCGGCAAGAAAUUUCAGUCUUUUUACAAUGUGUUCAUAUGAUUCACUUUAUAUAAAUAAUACCUGAAAACUUAUUUACAAUUUCUAUUUGAAAUUUAUUUCUUGCACUUACUGCUUUUGAUAUGGUCUAACAUUUUUUGUUGUCAUUUAUAAUUUGUUUCUUAAUAUGAGAACAAUUUCUCUGUUCCAAUGCUCAUUUUAUCACUUUUAUUUCACGUUAUUAGGGUUUUAUUUCACUCAUCUUCUCAUUUCUGGAAAUUGUGGGGAAAAAACAGAAAUUGUAUAUAUUAGAGAGGCAUUUCAGUUUUGAAGGAGGAAAUAAGAAUUUUUGAGAUCAUAAUUUGAAAACUUCUGUCCUUCAGAUGUUUCAACCAAACUAGAGUUCUGGUCCUCAUUUCCGUAGUCUUCUCAUUUAUUGUUGUGUAUACCCUCCCUACCCCGCCUUGUGUUGUUCCUACAGUAUCAGACCCAGAACUCCUCAGCUUCUGUCAAAGCCAGAUCCCCCCAUCCCCUCUGCCAGGAAUAUGGCUGAACAUGCUAAGGAAAUCAUUUAGAAAUGACAGAGAAGGUACUUCUCAUACACAGCCAAACAACUUAUUUUAUUGACACAUUCCAAAAUAUCUUUCCAAAUUGUUGUUAAAAUGAUAUACUGAGAUUAUCAAAUACGCCACCUCCAUGAUAGGGGAAAGGGCAUGGCACAUUCAUAAGUGCACACACUUCAUUAGCAAGUACAUUCCUGACAGGAGAGAAUUUCUGUUUUGACUAAGCACUCAAGAGAACCAAAUCUCCUGCUUAAGAUUUUGCAGAUCUGAUGACUGGAAAGAAUUUCCACAGACUAACUUCUGGCUUUGUUACAUCUAAAAUACGGUUUUGUUUCCACUAUCCCGUACUUCUGGUAUGGAAUGCUAGAGGACACAUUUGUUUUGGAACAUUACUUCUAAUUUGCAUCUUUAGUUCUGGGCAACAAGCAAAAUGGGAAGUAGGAGUGAGCACUGACGCUUUUUUAUGCUAGGAUAGCUAGUUAACUAAACCCAACUGAACAAACUAUGGAGUGAUGGCAGGUUAUAUCCACAAAUCCUACUCAACCUGAACUGGAUCCCCAAACUCAAUUUCCCCUAAACCAGUUAGCUCUCAAAGAUCCCUAAGUCUAGUCCAUCAUCAUCUGAUAAAAGGAAAACUAUAGACAAAGGGAAAACUGGAAUAAAAGGACUCAUCGGUCUAAACACUGUGUUUAAAAUACCUUAUAUAUGGAUGGUGGAAUGUGAUGGUCAUCCUUAUACAAAAUACAUGUAUGAAGAUUUGAAUUUGGGGCCAACAUACUUAUAUACAAAUAAAGAUAUGAAAAAUGGUGGUACAUAUGUGUAUUAAGAAUUGUAAUGCAAAAAAAGGGUACAUGUAUAAUGGCAUAAGUUGGCAUGAACAUACUGUAUAUAAAGAGAUACGAAAAAUAGUGCUCUAUAUGUGCAAUAAGUAAUGUAAUGAAAAAAUAAAUAAAAUAAAAUACCUUAUAUAUGUAAAACUUUCAAAACACUUA